rnacentral:rRNA from 1 species
ACUCCUACGGGAGGCAGCAGUGGGGAAUAUUGCGCAAUGGGCGAAAGCCUGACGCAGCGACGCCGCGUGAGGGAUGAAGGCCUUCGGGUCGUAAACCUCUUUCAGCAGGGAAGAAGCGAAAGUGACGGUACCUGCAGAAGAAGCACCGGCUAACUACGUGCCAGCAGCCGCGGUAAUACGUAGGGUGCAAGCGUUGUCCGGAAUUAUUGGGCGUAAAGAGCUCGUAGGCGGUCUGUCGCGUCUGGUGUGAAAACUCAGGGCUUAACUCUGAGCUUGCAUCGGGUACGGGCAGACUAGAGUGCGGUAGGGGAGACUGGAAUUCCUGGUGUAGCGGUGAAAUGCGCAGAUAUCAGGAGGAACACCGGUGGCGAAGGCGGGUCUCUGGGCCGUAACUGACGCUGAGGAGCGAAAGCAUGGGGAGCGAACAGGAUUAGAUACCCUGGUAGUCCAUGCCGUAAACGUUGGGCGCUAGGUGUGGGGCUCUUUCCACGAGUUCCGUGCCGCAGCAAACGCAUUAAGCGCCCCGCCUGGGGAGUACGGCCGCAAGGCUAAAACUCAAAGGAAUUGACGGGGGCCCGCACAAGCGGCGGAGCAUGCGGAUUAAUUCGAUGCAACGCGAAGAACCUUACCAAGGCUUGACAUGGGGUGAAAACUCGCAGAGAUGCGGGGUCCGCAAGGGCGCCUCACAGGUGGUGCAUGGUUGUCGUCAGCUCGUGUCGUGAGAUGUUGGGUUAAGUCCCGCAACGAGCGCAACCCUCGCUCUAUGUUGCCAGCACGUUAUGGUGGGGACUCAUAGGAGACUGCCGGGGUCAACUCGGA